rnacentral:tRNA from 1 species
GCCGGGGUGGCGAAAUGGCAGACGCACUAGGUUCAGGGCCUAGCGGAGGCAACUCCAUGCGGGUUCGACUCCCGCUCCCGGCA